rnacentral:SRP_RNA from 1 species
GCCAGGCAUGGUGGCGCAUGCCUGUAAUCCCAGCACUUGGGAGGCUGAGGCAGGAGGAUCGCUGUGAGUUGGGAAACCAGCCUGGGCUACAUAGUGAGUUCCAGGUCAGUCUCGACUACAUAGUGAGACCCUGUCUCAA